rnacentral:tRNA from 1 species
GCGUCGUUAGCGCAAUAGGCAGCGCGUCAGUCUCAUAUUCUGAUUUAGAAAUUUGAAGGUCGGGAGUUCGAUCCUCACACAGGGCA